GUGAACGCUGGCGGUAGGCCUAACACAUGCCAGUCGAACGGCAGCACAGUAAGAGCUUGCUCUUACGGGUGGCGAGUGGCGGACGGGUGAGGAAUACAUCGGAAUCUACUUUUUCGUGGGGGAUAACGUAGGGAAACUUACGCUAAUACCGCAUACGACCUACGGGUGAAAGCAGGGGAUCUUCGGACCUUGCGCGAUUGAAUGAGCCGAUGUCGGAUUAGCUAGUUGGCGGGGUAAAGGCCCACCAAGGCGACGAUCCGUAGCUGGUCUGAGAGGAUGAUCAGCCACACUGGAACUGAGACACGGUCCAGACUCCUACGGGAGGCAGCAGUGGGGAAUAUUGGACAAUGGGCGCAAGCCUGAUCCAGCCAUACCGCGUGGGUGAAGAAGGCCUUCGGGUUGUAAAGCCCCUUUGUUGGGAAAGAAAAGCAGCAGGUUAAUACCCCGCUGUUCUGACGGUACCCAAAGAAUAAGCACCGGCUAACUUCGUG
rnacentral:rRNA from 1 species